CAGCCGCCGCGGGAACACGGAGGGUGCAAGCGUUAAUCGGAAUUACUGGGCGUAAAGCGUGCGUAGGCGGUUCGUUAAGUCUGUUGUGAAAGCCCCGGGCUCAACCUGGGAAUGGCAAUGGAUACUGGCGAGCUAGAGUGUGUCAGAGGAUGGUGGAAUUCCCGGUGUAGCGGUGAAAUGCGUAGAGAUCGGGAGGAACAUCAGUGGCGAAGGCGGCCAUCUGGGACAACACUGACGCUGAGGCACGAAAGCGUGGGGAGCAAACAGGAUUAGAUACCCCCGUAGUCCCUGUCUCUUAUAA
rnacentral:rRNA from 1 species